rnacentral:lncRNA from 1 species
CAUAAUAAAUGUAAACAUAAAUUCCCUAAAAAUAAAAAAAUAAUCUGAGUUAAGUACAUGUUGUAUAAAUAAAACUGUAUAAAGUUGUUAAUAUCUGUACAAAUUGAUUACAUGUUUUAUAACUAAUUACAACUUUUUUUUUAUAUUUUUAAAUCCACCCUUAUAAUCUGGUUUACUAAAAAAAAUGUGUUAGAAACCUGUAAUUCCCUCUUAUUUUAAUUAUUCAUUUAUUUAUUUCAAAAUCAUGCUACAAAUAUUGGUUCAUAACUUAAGAACCAGUCUCAUCCUGUUAAGACCAGUUUGAAGAGGAUGGUCUAAGUUAAGGGAGAUAACUGUCAUAUAUCACUGGUAAAUUAUGUCUAUCAUUUUCAUAAAUAUUUUUUAAGCUUUUAAGUAACACAGAUCAUUUGAAUUCUGUUUGACAUAAUUACUUUACAAACAUUGAUGAUAACAGAUUAUCACAAACACAUUAGCAAUUUAAAGUUAUUAAAAUUAUUUCCCUUAACCUUGAUCUAGCUCCAUAAUGGAUACCAAAAAAUGUUGGUUAGAAUUUAUAACAUAAAACGUUAUUUAGUUAAAUGCUAAUCCCCUUAAGCUUUGUACUUUG